rnacentral:rRNA from 1 species
GACGAACGCUGGCGGCGUGCAUAACACAUGCAAGUCGAACGGAAAGGCCUGCUUUCCCUUGUGGAUUGCGGGUACUCGAGUGGCGAACGGGUGAGUAACACGUGAGUGAUCUGCCCCCAACUUGGGUAUAAGCCUGGGAAACUGGGUCUAAUUCCCGAUAGGACUGCAGGGUGGUGCCUGUGGUGGAAAACGAUUUUCUAGUGGUUGGGGAUGAGCUCGCGGCCUAUCAGCUUGUUGGUGGGGUAAUGGCCUACCAAGGCGGCGACGGGUAGCCGGCCUGAGAGGGUGGACGGCCACAUUGGGACUGAGAUACGGCCCAGACUCCUACGGGAGGCAGCAGUGGGGAAUAUUGCACAAUGGGCGGAAGCCUGAUGCAGCGACGCCGCGUGGGGGAUGACGGACUUCGGGUUGUAAACUCCUUUCGACCGCGAGGAAGCCACCUGGUUGGAAGGGUGGUGACGGUAGUGGUAGAAGAAGCACCGGCUAACUACGUG